rnacentral:rRNA from 1 species
UACAGAGGGGGCGAGCGUUGUUCGGAAUUACUGGGCGUAAAGGGCGCGUAGGCGGCCUUCUAAGUCGAACGUGAAAUCCCCGGGCUUAACCCGGGAACUGCGUCCGAUACUGGGAGGCUUGAAUCCGGGAGAGGGAUGUGGAAUUCCAGGUGUAGCGGUGAAAUGCGUAGAUAUCUGGAGGAACACCGGUGGCGAAGGCGGCAUCCUGGACCGGUAUUGACGCUGAGGCGCGAAAGCCAGGGGAGCAAACGGG